GCAGUCGUGGCCGAGUGGUUAAGGCGAUGGCAAUCCAUUGGGGUCUCCGCACAGGUCUGAAUCCUGUCGACUGCG
rnacentral:tRNA from 1 species